rnacentral:rRNA from 1 species
AGCGAACGCUGGCGGCAGGCCUAACACAUGCAAGUCGAGCGCCCCGCAAGGGGAGCGGCAGACGGGAGAGUAACGCGUGGGAACGUGCCCUUUGGUUCGGAACAACCCAGGGAAACUUGGGCUAAUACCGUAUGAUGCAGAGAUGCCAAAGAUUUAUCGCCUUGGGAUAAGCCCGCGUCAGAUUAGGUAGUUGGUGGGGUAACGGCCUACCAAGCCUGUGAUCUGUAGCUGGUCUGAGAGGACGAUCAGCCACAUUGGGACUGAGACGCGGCCCAAACUCCUACGGGAGGCAGCAGUGGGGAAUCUUGCGCAAUGGGCGAAAGCCUGACGCAGCCAUGCCGCGUGAAUGAUGAAGGUCUUAGGAUUGUAAAGUUCUUUCGCUCGUGACGAUGAUGACGGUAACGAGAGAAGAAGCCCCGGCUAACUUCGUGCCAGCCGCCGCAGUAA